CACUCUGUGGCGUAGUGGUUUGAACGUUGGACUGCAACUCUGGAGAUCAGAGUUCGAAUCCCGGCUCGGGCA